GAAGAAACCUUACAAUGUGGGGAAAGGGUGUUAUCCACAAUGAAAACAGAAUACGCAGGCUCUGGGUUGGAAGUACACCUGAAUUGUUCGACAAGAAAGCCACUGCAGCUGGAGAGGAGUGGGAAAGGAAGAGGGAGCCUGGGAAGAAGAUGAUAGAGAAGGAACAUGACAGGGAGGAAUAAGGCAAAUAAAUCCAAGACAUCGCAUUCCAUAGAUACUUUGCUAUGCAUAGAAGAUGUCAAACAUUCUAUUACUGCUUUUCAAAAAAAAAAAAAAAAAGAAAGGUGAACUUGAAGAAUAUUCACCUCCACCACCCACCACGGCAUUCCAGAAAACCUACCUGACUCGGCUAAGGUCAAGGGUACAAUGGGAAAUGUCCUGAGACCUGAAGAGCAGCUUGAUCUGAGAUAUCUGGAAGGCCCAUGUGCUACACGGUGCUUCUUCACAAAGCAUCUAUCACCUUGGAGUCACGAUUAUUGAGUGAGGACACGGCGUUUGUCCCCUCCAGAGGACACAGCAAUAAGGAACCAUCCUGGAAACAGAGCAAGUCCUCACUGGACACUGAACCUGCUGGAGCCCUGAUCUUGAACUUCCAGCCUCCAGAACUGUGAGCAAUGAAUUUCUGUUCUUUAUAACUUACCUAGUCUCAUGCAUUUUGUUAUGACACCACAAAUGGACAAAGCCAAGGCCAUGUAGUUUGCAGUAUGGCUUCUAGCUGCAUUGCUGUUAAGGCCCUGCUCCUUUCCCCCACAGUUGUCUCUCAAUCCCAGUACUACAGAGGCUCCUGCACCCCGUUAUUGCUCCUGAAGUUGGCCCUGGCCCUUGCUGUCUGUACCUCACCUCUUUGGAGCUGAGCUGCAUUGCCUGGAGGUUCUUAGAGUGGAAGUUUGUCCGGAGAGAUCUACAUGCAUUCUGACAACUACUCUCCACGUUGUUCCCGCUGCUGCUUGUUUUAUUUCAAAGGCACUUAACAAAACGAGUAAUGCUCUGUAAUUUUAGAUCUGCCAUUUUUUAAAACCAAAUAUAAUUUUUUAAGAAAUUUUUCUGCGCCAUUAUGUGUCUUCUAAAACCUAGUUUUAAGUGGCAGCAGUUUUUGUUCCUAAGAUGUAUCAUAAUUAAGCCUUUCACUCAUUGUUGGCUAUUUUGAUUGCUCCCAAAGUUUACUUGUUGUAGUAGCCUCAUAAUUUCAACAUGAAUCCUUGGUGUGUGUGUGUGUGUGUGUGUGUGUGUGUGUGUGUGUAUUUU